rnacentral:lncRNA from 1 species
UUCACUGGUGGGAGGACAGCUCCCCAGGAGCAGCAGCUCCCUGUGGCCAGACUCAGCUAUCUGGGGAAUGGAGUGGCUGCAAGCUGUCAGACCUCACUCCCAGGAGCUGGCGACGGUGCAGCCGCCAGUGCUGGGGACCAGGAAGCUGAACGGAGUGAGACAUGCCCUGUAGAAAAUGAAGAAUCUGCAGAAAAUUAUAAGAAAGAAGGAAAAGCAAAAUGGCACAGACCCUCCACUUAGGAAUCGUUGACUCCAGCAGACAUUAGCACAGCCUUUUACUCUCUCCAUAUGUUUCACACUCAGCUGCGUACUACGGAGGCCGUUGUGCAUAUGGCGACUGUAAGGCAUCAUUGGGAAUAUCAUGAGGUGACAUGACGUAGAGUUUGACGAAUGGGGUGACAGA